GACGAACGCUGGCGGCGUGCCUAAUACAUGCAAGUCGAGCGCAGGAAGCUGACGGAACUCUUCGGAGGGAAGGCAGCGGAAUGAGCGGCGGACGGGUGAGUAACACGUAAGGAACCUGCCUCAAGGAUUGGGAUAACUCCGAGAAAUCGGAGCUAAUACCGGAUAGUUCAACGGACCGCAUGGUCCGCUGAUGAAAGGCGCUCCGGCGUCACCUUUGUAUGGCCUUGCGGUGCAGUAGCUAGUUGGUGGGGGAACGGCCCACCAAGGCGACGAUGCAUAGCCGACCUGAGAGGGUGAUCGGCCACACUGGGACUGAGACACGGCCCAGACUCCUACGGGAGGCAGCAGUAGGGAAUCUUCCACAAUGGACGAAAGUCUGAUGGAGCAACGCCGCGUGAGUGAUGAAGGUUUUCGGAUCGUAAAACUCUGUUGUAAGGGAAGAACACGUACGAGAGGAAAUGCUCGUACCUUGACGGUACCUUACGAGAAAGCCACGGCUAACUACGUGCCAGCCGCCGCCGUAA
rnacentral:rRNA from 1 species